rnacentral:lncRNA from 1 species
AAGAGAAGAGAAGAGAGGACGAGUCGCUCCGUCUUCUUCCUCCUCUUCUUCUCACAGGACACAAACCCAACCCGCAUCGGAAUCGGAAUCGGAAUCGGCAUCGGCACCGGCAGCGGCAGCGAGGUCGUCGUCGCCCUCCUCCGCCCGCCCCCCAGCCCACUCCAGGAAUCCGCAACGUCCAUGGACGGCGCGGCUGACCCCGGCACNN